UCUCUGUAGGUGAACCUGCAGAGGGAUCAUUACCGAGCGAGGGCCCCCGGGCCCGACCUCCCACCCCAUGUGGUCUCCAUCAACCCCGUGCCUCGGGGGUGACCGGCGCCCGCCUCCGCGCGGCGCGCCGGGCCCCCGGCGGACCCCUCAACGCAGCGCUCUGUGCCGUCGAGUCGUUUGGGACAAAUCGCAAGCAAAACUUUCAACAAUGGAUCUCUUGGUUCUGGCAUCGAUGAAGAACGCAGC
rnacentral:misc_RNA from 1 species